AUGUAUGUAGGCUGGAGGGGGUGAUGGAAUGAGGGAAACAUCUGGCUUUGGAUCACAGCUUUGUAAGUCCUGUAUAACCCCAAUAACUCCACACACAGCAUCAGCAGCAAGCCGUGUAUAGUGCCUGUAUGUGCCAGACACUAUUCUAAGUGCUUUCUAUACAGUAACCCUUUAAUCUUCACAAGAAUCCUAUGAUAUAGGAUGGUUUUAUCGUCCAGAUUUUACAGAUGAGAGCACUGAGGCACAGAGCUAAGCAACCUGCCCGACUAGUCUCACAACUAAUAAGCACCAGGGCAGGAUUUGAACCUAAGCAGCCUGGCACCAAAAAUCUGUGCUGUUAUACUUUUCUUCAGAAUGGGGAGGUAUGCUUUACCUACUCUUCCAGCUUUGGGGUCUCAGAUGAAAUGGAGAUCACAAGAAAAGUCUAACAUCCAGUUACAAUAGAAAGUAUUCCAGAAAUAGCAGUUAUGAUUGUAUAGAUACUGUUGUGGCCACUGCUACUGUUGCUGCUACUGCUGCAAGGAGGCUGGGAGCUGCUGGGCCAUGGAGAGCUUGGGAAUGCUACCCAGGGGACUGGAGCAUCGUGUGGGAGGUGGGGCUGGAUGGCCAUCCAGGCUCUCACACCCUGAGAUUCAUUGAUUUGAUUAUAACCACAUGGGAGGAGCUUCAUCUCACCCCGCAGGCAAACCACACACACACACUUGCAUGCACACAUGCACACACUUAUGCCCACAUGCGUACGUGUACACACACACACAAGCCCAUUCAUAAGCCUUAUUGGCUGCCUGUCUCUCACUGAGCCCUAGAAAGAGGACUGAUGAUUGGCUUUGGCCAGGUGGCUUGGGGGUCAUAAUUAGGGCCAGAAGAAGGAGCAAGGUCAUGGGGUUCAGACUGUGCCAAAGUGCACUUACUCCAUGACACACGUGGAUCAAGUGACAGGGCCCAUGGAAGCUGGCCUGCUACAGCGUGGCUGCUUGCCACAGGUCAGACCAUGCCAUCCCACAAGUUGAUUAGAAUAAACCUGAGUGUGUUUGGGAUCAGGGCCAAGAAGACACACAGCUGGUGGGCUGUUGGCAGCCGACUCCCAGCGUGGUCAAGUCCACUGGCGUUCAGUCAUUCGUGUGCAUUCUUCCGUUACCAGCGUGCAUUCAGCACCACUGCAUAUGAGGCUUCAAGUCAGGCACUGAGCGUUGAGAAACAAACAGGAUGUGGUCUCUGCCCUGGAGGAACCCACACACACCUUAGCGGAGAGGGGGAAAACAACCUAGCAAACACAACACAAAGUGGCGAUUCUCAAGUCAAGUCAAGACCCAUGGGAUGCAAACGGGCCCCAUCAGUGCCACCCUGGUGAUGACACGCCCCAUCAAAGGGCCCCGGGAAAUCCAGCUGGACUUGGAAAUGAUCACUGUCAACACUGUCAUCAACUUCAGAGGCAGCUCCGUGAUCCGACUGCGGAUAUAUGUGUCGCAGUACCCAUUCUGAGCCUCGGGCUGGAGCCUCCGACGCUGCCUCUCAUUGGCACCAAGGGACAGGAGAAGAGAGGAAAUAACAGAGAGAAUGAGAGCGACACAGACGUUAGGCAUUUCCUGCUGAACGUUUCCCCGAAGAGUCAGCCCCGACUUCCUGACUCUCACCUGUACUAUUGCAGACCUGUCACCCUGCAGGACUUGCCACCCCCAGUUCCUAUGACACAGUUAUCAAAAAGUAUUAUCAUUGCUCCCCUGAUAGAAGAUUGUUGGUGAAUUUUCAAGGCCUUCAGUUUAUUUCCACUAUUUUCAAAGAAAAUAGAUUAGGUUUGCGGGGGUCUGAGUCUAUGUUCAAAGACUGUGAACAGCUUGCUGUCACUUCUUCACCUCUUCCACUCCUUCUCUCACUGUGUUACUGCUUUGCAAAGACCCGGGAGCUGGCGGGGAACCCUGGGAGUAGCUAGUUUGCUUUUUGCGUACACAGAGAAGGCUAUGUAAACAAACCACAGCAGGAUCGAAGGGUUUUUAGAGAAUGUGUUUCAAAACCAUGCCUGGUAUUUUCAACCAUAAAAGAAGUUUCAGUUGUCCUUAAAUUUGUAUAACGGUUUAAUUCUGUCUUGUUCAUUUUGAGUAUUUUUAAAAAAUAUGUCGUAGAAUUCCUUCGAAAGGCCUUCAGACACAUGCUAUGUUCUGUCUUCCCAAACCCAGUCUCCUCUCCAUUUUAGCCCAGUGUUUUCUUUGAGGACCCCUUAAUCUUGCUUUCUUUAGAAUUUUUACCCAAUUGGAUUGGAAUGCAGAGGUCUCCAAACUGAUUAAAUAUUUGAAGAG
rnacentral:lncRNA from 1 species